CGAACGAGGUAGCAAUACCUAGUGGCGGACGGGGGAGUAACGCGUGGGGAAUCUGCCUUGAGAUGGGGGAGUAACGAGCCGAAAGGCUCGCUAAUACCGCAUAUGCCGAAAGGUGAAAGGAGUAAUCCGUCUUAAGAUGAGCCCGCGUCCGAUUAGCUAGUUGGUGGGGUAAAGGCCUACCAAGGCGACGAUCAGUAGCCGACCUGAGAGGGUGACCGGCCACAUUGGGACUGAGACACGGCCCAA
rnacentral:rRNA from 1 species